rnacentral:rRNA from 1 species
GAUGAACGCUGGCGGCGUGCCUAAUACAUGCAAGUCGAGCGAACAGACGAGGAGCUUGCUCCUCUGACGUUGGCGGCGGACGGGUGAGUAACACGUGGAUAACCUACCUAUAAGACUGGGAUAACUUCGGGAAACCGGAGCUAAUACCGGAUAAUAUAUUGAACCGCAUGGUUCAAUAGUGAAAGACGGUUUUGCUGUCACUUAUAGAUGGAUCCGCGCCGCAUUAGCUAGUUGGUAAGGUAACGGCUUACCAAGGCAACGAUGCGUAGCCGACCUGAGAGGGUGAUCGGACACACUGGAACUGAGACACGGUCCAGACUCCUACGGGAGGCAGCAGUAGGGAAUCUUCCGCAAUGGGCGAAAGCCUGACGGAGCAACGCCGCGUGAGUGAUGAAGGUCUUCGGAUCGUAAAACUCUGUUAUUAGGGAAGAACAAAUGUGUAAGUAACUAUGCACGUCUUGACGGUACCUAAUCAGAAAGCCACGGCUAACUACGUG